AUUGAACGCUGGCGGAAUGCUUUACACAUGCAAGUCAAACGGCAGCACGGGGCAACCUGGUGGCGAGUGGCGAACGGGUGAGUAAUACAUCGGAACGUGCCCAAUCGUGGGGGAUAACGUAGCGAAAGUUACGCUAAUACCGCAUACGAUCUACGGAUGAAAGCGGGGGAUCGCAAGACCUCGCGCGAAUGGAGCGGCCGAUGUCAGAUUAGGUAGUUGGUGGGGUAAAGGCUCACCAAGCCAACGAUCUGUAGCUGGUCUGAGAGGACGACCAGCCACACUGGGACUGAGACACGGCCCAGACUCCGACGGGAGGCAGCAGUGGGGAAUUUUGGACAAUGGGCGCAAGCCUGAUCCAGCCAUUCCGCGUGCAGGAUGAAGGCCUUCGGGUUGUAAACUGCUCUUGUACGGAACGAAAAGGCUCUGGUUAAUACCUGGGGCUCAUGACGGUACCGUAAGAAUAAGCACCGGCUAACUACGUGCCAGCCGCCGCAGUAACAC
rnacentral:rRNA from 1 species